rnacentral:rRNA from 1 species
UACGUAGGGGGCUAGCGUUGUCCGGAAUCAUUGGGCGUAAAGAGCGUGUAGGCGGCCCGGUAAGUCCGCUGUAAAAGUCAAAGGCUCAACCUUUGAAUGUCAGUGGAUACUGCCGGGCUAGAGUCCGGAAGAGGCGAGUGGAACUCCUGGUGUAGCGGUGGAAUGCGCAGAUAUCAGGAAGAACACCGAUGGCGAAGGCAGGUCACUGGGCCGCAACUGACGCUGAGGAGCGAAAGCAUGGGGAGCGAACAGG